rnacentral:lncRNA from 10 species
UUUUAGCAAAACUAAAUACCUCUUCCUGUGUUCCCAUCGGCAUAAAGUUGGGAACCUCACUUUUUGCUGGCAUAUUGCAAAAAUGGUUGAUGCCACUUAUUUAGUGGUAAAUUUGUAUUUUCUGUGUCUAUUCCUAUUCAUUAGGUCCUCAAGAGCUUUUAGCUUUAACUCACUAGUUCUAAUUUAUAAGUAAAAAACAGAGAGCUGGGAUUAUAUUUUCAUUUAGAUAGGUUGUUUACUGUUUUUUCUCUGCUUACACUGCUCACCUAAACAUCUGUGAGUAUAUUUUCAAAAAAGGAAGUAUGACUAAGGAAAUGAUAUAAAAUAAGAACAAAUAUUUUAUAUAGUAAGUGAUUGUAAAGGAAUGCAAAGGAGGAGAUAUUUUGAAUAGAUGCAACAUCUUGCUUCUCUUUUUAUUCUGACAAAUUUUUCUGCCCUUUAUUGACAAUUAACUACAGAGUUACUAAAAUUUUAUUUUUGCUUUGAUAGCUAUGCUUUUUUUUUAAACCUUUGUUUUAAAAAUAGAUCAUCUUUUUUUUUUCUUGUCCUUAAAGAACUCUGUGAUAUUUAUAAUGGUUUUGAUCUUAUGAGCCAGGUAACUAUUUGGUAAUCAUUCCUUAUGAAGAAAUUUAAUUUUCAUUUCACAGAGUUUUCAUUAGCAACUUCCUUAAAUAUAUCUUCAUGAGUGUAAUGAAUGUGGUUCAGUACCUUCUGAGCUAUCUGGAUAUUAGUAGAGUGGCCUGGCAUGUUGAUAAAUGGAGUGACCUGUCAGAGUAAACCUCCUCAAUUUCUUGUAAACAUGAAUUAUUGUUAUUUAAUUGCAACUUCAUUUCAAAAGAAAGGAAAGAUGCCACGUACAUCUAACAAAUAAAAAUAAGUCACUAGAACGAAGAGUACAGGAAAGAUGAGGAAAAGAGAAAAUUUCUUGUGUGAUUAUCAUGUCUAAAGAUCCAUUCCCUUAGCACCUAAUCUAUUUCCAAGCAAUUCACAAUUCUUGAGAGAAUUAAUAAACUUUUUGGCUCUCAGGGUACCUUAGAGAGUAUUUUUCAAACUUUUUUUUUACUUUAACUCAGUAAAUACAGAUGGCCUUCCAUAUCCAUUGGUUCUGUAUUCAUGUAUUCAACCAACCGCAGAUUUAAAAUAUUUGGAAAAAAAAUUGCAUCUGUACUGAACAUGUACUGACUUUUUUCUUGUCGUGAUCCCCUAAACAAUACAGAAUAACAAUUAUUUGCACAGUGUUUAUAUUGUAUUAGGUAUUAGAAGUAAUCUAGGAUUUAAAGUAUAGGAGAGGAUGUGUAUAGGUUAUAUGCAAAUACUAUACCAUUUUAUAUCAAGGACAUGAGUAUGAGUAUCUGUGGAUUUGGGUUUCUGAUACAGGUCUUGGAACCAAUCCUCCAUGGAUACUGAGGGACAACUGUAAUACAUUUUACAAGUUGGAUAAUUAUAGAAAUAAAUGUAUAUCUUUAAAUAAUAUGUAAAAAAAUAUAUAAAUAAUUACAAAAUAACUUAUAGGAUGUGUACUCUGAUAUUUUCUAUUUCAUUUUUUAAAAACCUACUAUGUUGAUUUCACAACCCCUAAAUGAGUGAUAAAUAGCAACUUGAAAAAUACUGACUGAGGGGAUUACUCUCUGAAGGUAACAAAUGGAUUCUUUAUCAUUUGUUCAUUCACUCAACAGGGUAUUAUUUGCAAGGCAGUGUUUUAAGUGCUUCAGUAUUCAAAGAGAGUUACAGUCCUUGUUCUUAUAAUCAAUUACUUGUGCUCAUUUAAUCUUAAAGUCCACUUAAAAUACAGUAUAAUAUAUAUGUAUGAAUUUUUUAUUUUCUGUCCUUUCUGUCUCAUGCUCUGAUAUUAUUGUGAAAUAUAUCUGUAGAGAUUUCCUGUGACUUGACCUUUUUAUUUAAAGGUCAUAAUCUGUUCAUAAUCUGUUCAUAAUCAUAAGUCAUAAUGUGUUUGAGACAUCAUAAUGGUUUCUACGGAAACAUUUGUUGCCUCUCAAAGAAGCAAGAACACUCUAAAUUUUCAAGAAAAUAGAAUUUGGUGGUAGUGCUAGGGAGAAAGCAUCUGACCAAGAGAAAACAAAAAUAUAUGAGUUUGUAUCAGGAAGAACAAUUUAAAAUUUUUCUAAUUUGAAAAAAUAAAAGUCUUACUUUAAGUGCUGCUUUAUAAAAAAAAAAUUCUAUAGUGCUAGUUAUCUUUUUUAGUUUUAAAUAUUUACAAUUUUCUCUUUUAUCUUUUUACUAUUUUCUUUAGUAAAAUGUUCUCCUUACCUCAUUGUGUAAUUUUUAAAAAUAUGGUUCUGAAAGAUGCUUCUUACAUUAUUGGUAAGGAAUAUCAUUUAGAUUAUGCCUAAUAGUUCACACAUACAGAGAAGGUAGUUUCACAAACACAAAAAAAUGGAACUUUAGAUCAUUAUUAAUAGUACAAGCUCUCCAUUUUUACACUUCUGCAGUGAGCUACAAAAUUUCUAUGAGACCCCUCAAAAUACAUCAAUGAUUGCAGACUACAGAUAUUAAAUUGUGAUAAUUUAAACGUGUUACAUUAUUUGUGUUGAGGAAUUUAAUACUUAUUUUAAUUCUUUCCCCAUUAAACAGUUAAACUAAUUUGCAUAAGUAUAUAUUAAGGAUUUUAGGUUUUUGAUAUAAUGUUGUCCAAUUAACUCUCUAUAUGCAGUGUGUUAAGAACUUAUCAAGUAUAUAGAGGGUCAGGAACAGAGGAAUGUGUUCAUGGCCAUGAAUUAUAGAUGAAAGGGUUUCCAGAUUGGAAUGCAGUUGAUUAUAGAGGAGUUCUUAGAGAGGGGUAAAAACAUACUACCAAUGAAAGAUGUAGACAAUUGAAUAUAAGAUGUAAAGUUUUCCAAAAUGAUUUUCAGUUGUACUGUUUAUAGACAUUUGCAAAUGCCAUUGUUAUUUAUAUUGAUUCUUUUUGGAAUUAUUGUAUUCUUCUUUUUCUAUUGAUGGUUGUUUUCCAUUGUAUAGCUGUACCACAGUUUAUCCAUUCAUCUACUGAAGGGCAUCUUGGUUAAUUCCAAGUUUUGGCAAUUAUGAAUAAAGAUGCUAUUAACAUC